GAUAUUCUUUAAUUCUCUAAAAUAAUAGCAAGAGAUCAGACGCAAAAUGGGACGCGGAGAUCGUGUUUUACUGCCGGUGUUGGAACAUUAGAACUCCUGGAGUUCAUAAACUAACCUGUCAAAUGAAGAAAACAAAAUAGGGCCUCCUUGUUAUGUUAUUGGGCGCCUUGCCAUGCCGGAAUCCCACUGCCCGAAAUCUAUGCUCACAUCACAAGUGGAGCCUUUCAGCAUCAGCGCAGAAGAUGCCUUGCCUGUUGCGGGUGUUUCUACGGGCUGCAAAGCUAUACGAGCAACACGGAGCAGCAGUGCAAAAGGCAGGCCGGACCAGUGCCAAAAAGGUUUGCAAGCCCUGAAAUGUGUUCUGCCGCUAUGGAUCAGU